AUGGGGUGCAGCAGGGGCGAAACCUCUGCAAUGCGCGCAAGCGUGACAGGGUGACGGGGAGUGCCAGGGGCUUUUUGCUCCUGGCUUUUGCCGAGUGUAAAAAGCUCGGCGAAUAAGCGGUGGGCAAGAGUGGUGGCAGUCGCCACGGUAACACCACCGCCGCGAGUGGUGGUCCCUAAUAUUGGGCCUAAAGCGGCCGUAGCCGGGUAAGUGUGGCUCCCGUGAAAUCCUCGGGCUCAACCCGAGGGCUUGCGGGGGCUACUACUUACCUAGGGACCGGGAGAAGGCGGGAGUACGCCCGGGGGAGCGGUGAAAUGCUGUAAUCCCGGGUGGACUACCGGAGGCGAAAGCGCCCGCCUAGAACGGGUCCGACGGUGAGGGCCGAAGGCCGGGGGCUCAAAUGGGAUUAGAGACCCCAGUAGUCCCGGCUGUCAACGCUGCGGGCUAGGUGUUGGGUAGGCUAAGUGCCUACCCAGUACCGUAGGGAAGCCGUUAAGCCCGCCGCCUGGGGAGUACGGCCGCAAGGCUGAAACUUGAAGGAAUUGGCGGGGGAGCAC
rnacentral:rRNA from 1 species